ACUUUGUGAUAAGUUAUCUUUAUCCAGUUAUCACCGAAAAAGCGCUACUAUUCGUAAGUGCCUCCCCCAACCCCCUUUACGCCUUUAUUUGCUUGGCUCUUUUGUUUUGUUUUUACUUCUCCCCUUAGCAGAAGACGUAUCCCGAUUUAAAUCAACUGACUUCGUUAAUCGCGUUUUUACAAAUGCACUGCAUUAACCGGUUAACUAUAUUUCAACACAUUGUUUUUAUAUUGUGGUCCAUUUCUAGAAUUUUUAACUAUUCUUCAAAGAAAUUGGCAGAAGUGUUAACCAGUCAAUCGAUUUUCAACAUGUUAAGGACGGAGAUGAGACCUUUUGCCCAGUAUGCACAUACAUUUGAACAGUGGAAGGAAGAUGAAUCUUGUGUGGAAUCAGCUUAAGGACAAAUUCAUAUUUGCAGUUGUCUAUGACCUUGAGGGGAAAUAAGCCAUUACAUGUACAAGAUCGACCAUUGUAUUGAAGAAAGUCUCAGGCUUUAAUUUCAUUCACUGAAGUAAACAUUUAGGAAGAGUUGAUAUAUCCACAAAUUGCAUGUGUGAUUGAACUCAAUUGGAACAGGAUAUCCACUUUAAACUUCCAGGUCAGUGGCUUUCAUUUCAGUCUGUUCCUCUCAUAUUCAUUUUAGCUGCCCAGAAAUCUGGGGAGGAGAGGGCAGCCAGAUAGAGAAAAUAAGAAAUUCUGACCCUUUGCUAUUUGUUUCUUAGUUAUCGUAGAAUCUCGCCACCUUCAUAUGGCAAAGUGUAAAGCGUUCAAUUCUGCAUUGUCAACCCACUUGCGAUUGUGUCUGAUUUCUUUAGCAAGUGCAAUCUAAUUUGAACAUCAAGUUAGUUUCGAUUCUAGUUUAGCCGUGUCGUUUUGAAAACAGUUUCCAGCUCAAUAAAGGCCAACAGAAAUUGUGUGGACAAGCCUCAGAAGUGGAAGCUCGUCCAGGCAAUUUCUUUGUUGUUUAUUAUGUCCUUCAAGACAUGGUCGAUAACAGAAAAAUUGAAUCAAGAAGAAUUUUAUUUGAAAUCGCGAUUCAAGCUCGAGUACAUCAACAUAGCAAAUACGAUUUGUCCCUACGUUAACAUUCGUAGCUAUUGGGUCAAGUCUUCCUCUAGGAAAACGCCGGUGAAAUGAGUGAAACGGCGACCGUAGAGCAACACCUUGUCUGACAUUUCAGAGAUCUCCACCCAGACUUGAUCGUUUUUGAUCAAACCGAGUGUCGAUUCGAGCGAAAACGUUUCGAACGUACCGCCCGUGUUGGUCGCGUGAGAAUAGCCAGAGCCGAUCCAAUUGCCAUUUUUGAUCAAACUGAUUUGAAAGCGAUAGGAAGGCACGACGGGAGUCUCGUUGUACAGUCCGGGAGUCAGUUGCGUGUAAGGGAAAUAGGCCACUCCCGAAAUGGAGAAACUGUACUUGCCCGCUCGAGGUGCCACGAAUUUGCCCGUUUGCAAAUUCAUGGCUCCUCCGACAUUCAAUUGCUCCACGUCGAACGCAAUUGGGAUGUUAGUUUCCAUAAACGGACUGCUCCUCGUCACGUAGAAAUAAGUGGACGCUGAUUUCACAUCAACGUAACCGAUCCAUUUUUGCAUUUCUAUUUAGAAUUCGAAUGGAGGGCUAGAAUGAAAAUGCAAUUCAGAGAUUUAAUAAUUAUACCUUUUGCAUUGGGAUGAAAAUUGCAGUAAACUGUUUCAACCGAUCGAGUUCCCAUAACGGAAUACAAUCCGCUAAUUCGAUGUCCAAUGUGUUGCAAAUCCGAACAAGAUGUUGGCAUUUUUCCAAUGUCCGUCACGCCGCUAGUUCUCUCUAUUUUCAUUUCAAUUCCCACAGUUUAAAACAAACAAGAAUCGCAUCGUAAAUGUAUCGUCAGACUUACCGUUUAACUUGAUCGCUAAAUCGUCCACGAUGGCUUUUGUUUCUGCAAAAAUCAAAGCGAAAUGUUGCAUGCAAAUCGUCAUCAAAAACUUUCUUAAUUGAAGUCACGAGAAAGACUUGCGUACCGUGCAACUUGAUCUCCACCUCGUCGCUGUGCCGUUCGUUUUGCAAGGAAAUCACAAUCGCAUUUUGCUGUUGCAUUUUCGAUUCGAGGCCAAUCACUUUCGUUUCUAAACGGACCAUUUUAGCUUCCAAAACUUCUUUAAUUUCAGCCUUCCCACCCAACCCCAAAAAAACGUAAAUUUUCAAUUUUAUUCGAUUAAAAAAAAUUUAUUUCACUUACGUAAUUUUUCGCCAAUUGUUGAACAGUUUCUUCGAAGGACUGGCCGUUCGCGUAAAUUGUGCAAGCGAACAAUAGCUAAAACAAAUUAGGCCAUUUUCUUUCUCUUCCUGUUUAGGCACAGCGCACUGUUGCAAUCCUUUCUAGAUGACGAUCACUGUCGAAUUGUCGUUUCUACUCACUGGAACACGUCAAUACUGACAAGCAAAAAAAAAGAAAAGGGGGAGGGUUAAAAAAAAAAAGCCACUAGAAUUUUGGAUAUCAUUCACGUACCUCCCCCCUUCUGUUGGGGAGAGCUGCACUCCUUUUUGAGGUACAACUCAAUUCAUCACCUGGUAUCGAAAGUUGUCGUAAAACUUUAUGGCCAUCUGGGCAAGCUCGGCGCUUGGUCGUUGGAUCAAUGAUGGAUGUUUGGAAACGAGUGAACGACACACGUCACGAACGCUUUUGGGGUUACAGUUUUCUAAAGGGUGAGUAAAAGAUGACGAGCAUUAUGUUGUGGAAUUCAUUGCGCAUUAAGAAUCAUGUGAAUUUCAAGUUUUUGAGAUCGUCGUUGGUGAUUUGGGAAAUAAUGCGAGAGAUUGCGGUUAGGGUGGGCUUAAUUUUGCUAAAUUUGAUGUUACGUGUACUUGAAUGGAUUACAGAGAAGCGAGCCGUCUUUAUAACUUAUGGAUGUACGUUAGAGUUGAUUCCGAUUUGCGAUUCCUCACGAACAAUAACAGCUUCUUAAAGGAAUUUAUGUUAACUGUGCAUUGAUUUUUUGUUAAUUUUAUUCUUGAAAAUUGCAUGUAGGUUUCUUUUGAGGGGACCGACAUUCACGAGACUUUAGUCAUGCAUAUGAUACGAUAUAGACUGGGCUAUAUCGUAUCGAAAGCACCAACUGUUGUAUCGUUGAUCGUUUGAAUCAUGUUAAUCUAUAAAGGGAAAAAGAUUUAUAUUUUUCUGUUCCAGUAUCUCCAACUGGACAUCCUUUCUCUGCAGAGCUGCCUUCAUUUCAAUUUCAUACAUAAACUAAAAGGAACAAAGUUGCUCCUUUACGAUAAAGCCAGCCAUCACACAAGAUAAUCACAAAGCCAAAAUAAAUGGGAUGACGAUAGUACAUCACGUCAUGUUGUACCAGCCCACUGGAUUACCUUUUAUUACGGACUCGUACUAAUCGAUUUCCCCAUCAUAUAUCGAUUUGGUAGUUGUUUCCAUCCUCUCCACAGAUUGUUCUGCACGUGAAGCAAAUCGAGGAUUUCUGAUGGUAUGUGUUUACUAAUGGUUUUCGUGUUCAAACAUUGGAACAACAGAAUGCACACCUACAUGAUUUUGGACAUUCAUUGGACCACAAAACUUCCAGUAGUCCUAGAGAAAGUCUAUUGAAUGAAUUUCUGUAAAAAAAAAAUAACCAAAGAAGGUUAUGAGGCUUAAUUAACGAUUGAGGUUGGAAAAUUUUUCAUACAUUAGAAUUAAUGACUUGGAAUCCCAGGAGCUGGAACCAGAAAACAAGGUUUGAAGCAAUUAGGCAACGUGUAAUUUGUAUGAAAAAAGGAGAAGGGGUAACAAAAAAAAAGUAUAUAAAGCCGUCUGAAUACUAUGUUUGAACAUGCAGCAUCUUGAUGGUGUCUAUUUCAUUGAAGAGGAUUGUCCAAUCAUGACUCUGAAUACAGAUGUGAUGGAGUUCCUGAUUGUGGAGAAGUUCACGCUCCAGACUUCUUGAGUGGUAAAGCCUAUCUUGUAAAUUUAUGUUAUAUAUAAAGUAUAGUUAUUGUUUUAUGUAUUAAAAUUGAUAUUAAUGUAAAGCCACAGAUUUUAUUCCUAAUUGUCUACAACACAGCUGGUAUGUUGUGUUUUUGUGUGGUAAGAUUCAGUUCAUUUUUCAGGUGGAUGUGUUUCGUUUAGGCUGGGUGAGUGGCAAGCUUUAUUUUGUUCGUAGUUGAUAUGAGUCACUUAUUUUAAGUUUAAAAUGUAGUGCACUGUUGUUGGGUGUUAGUAAGACAUAAUUUUUUUCCAGUUUCUUGUCUCUUCUUCUGCAGAGUUGAGAUUGUGGUAAUUACAUACACUUGUUGGUUUUAUGCCACAUAUCCUUGAAUGAUAGAUUUAUAUGGUGCACCUGUUGCAUGCAGUGGCUCUGUAAUAAGGCUGUGGGGCUAGUUUCUAUUUCUAUUCUAUAUUAUUCUAUUUCUUAAAUGGUUAGCAUGAGACGUUGGCGCUAGCCGCAUUGCUAAAUUUCCAUGGGUGGGUUGGAUCAGGUAAUUUAUGGAUUGUACGGUUUUUGAGCUGUGAUGUUUUAAGCAUAUGACUGACAGUCCAUGAGGCUAUGAUGUCAAUCAGGAUACUGAGCUCUUAUUAAUGCCGUGUUUUUAUUACCAUUUGAAUGAAUAGUCGUUGUAUUUUUCACGUGUCGUUCCAGGUUUUUUAAACAAGUGGUUGCGUGGACAUUUCAUGGCACUGUUCAUACCAAAUUGGCCGCGAUGUUGCAUCGAGCAGCCUUCAUCGAUUUGUCCCAAUAAUUUUGGAUGUCAAAGCUUCUCGAAUUUCAUCCUGAUAGGAACAGUGAUGUAAUGUAACUCCAGAGCCUCCAAUCGAUUGUCUCUGUUUUCCAGUUGCAAUAUUUUACUCUCCAAAAGUGAAAUAAUUUCAGUCUUGACAGA